rnacentral:rRNA from 1 species
ACGAACGCUGGCGGCGUGCUUAAGACAUGCAAGUCGAACGCGAAAGUCUUCGGACGAGUAGAGUGGCGCACGGGUGAGUAAUACAUGGGAACGUACCUUUAAGUGGGGGAUAACUACGGGAAACUGUAGCUAAUACCGCAUUAACUCGAAAGAGUAAAGAUGGCCUCUAUUUAUAAGCUAUCGCUUAAAGAUCGGCCCAUGUCCCAUUAGCUAGUUGGCGGGGUAAAGGCCCACCAAGGCUACGAUGGGUAGCUGGUCUGAGAGGACGAUCAGCCACACUGGAACUGAGACACGGUCCAGACUCCUACGGGAGGCAGCAGUCGGGAAUUUUGCACAAUGGGGGAAACCCUGAUGCAGCAACGCCGCGUGAGUGAAGAAGGCCUUUGGGUUGUAAAGCUCUUUCGAUUGGGAAGAAGGGCCUCAUGGCUAAUAUCUAUGAGGUUUGACGGUACCAGAAGAAGAAGCACCUGCUAACUACGU